AUGAACCGCUAUGGUAUGCCAUUCAUACCUUUUGUUGGUCUUAACAAUCACCGGAAGACCAAUGUUUUUGGUUGUGCCAUAGUUUCGGACGAGACCAAGGAGACAUACGUGUGGCUUCUGCAGACUUUUUUGAGGUCCAUGUGUCAAAAGAUGCCUAAGAGUGUUAUCAUAGACACCAACGCUGCGAUGAUCAAGGCAAUUCGCGAAGUCUUGCCAGACGUGUGGCACCGUAUAUGUACGUGGCACAUAGAGAAAAAUAUGAAGAUUCACCUCAGUCACAAGUCCUUGAAGGAGUUCCAAACUCUUUUG
rnacentral:rRNA from 1 species